UACGAAGGGGGCUAGCGUUGCUCGGAAUCACUGGGCGUAAAGCGCACGUAGGCGGACUCUUAAGUCGGCGGUGAAAUCCUGGAGCUCAACUCCAGAACUGCCUUCGAUACUGAGAGUCUCGAGUCCGAGAGAGGAGAGUGGAACUGCGAGUGUAGAGGUGAAAUUCGUAGAUAUUCGCAAGAACACCAGUGGCGAAGGCGGCUCACUGGCUCGUUACUGACGCUGAGGUGCGAAAGCGUGGGGAGCAAACAGG
rnacentral:rRNA from 1 species